UAUAGCUUCCGUUCCUCUCGCCCCUUCCAAGGCUUCCAGGGAGCCUCUGCACAUAUCAACAACUGACACCCACAAAACACCGUAACCCAUCGCUCCAUAAAAGCCGCAGCCCUUGUCUGCAAGGGGAACAACUACUUCAAGGUCUCAGAGCGAGUGACGUCACCGAUUGAAACGCUAUUAGCGCGCACCCCGCUAACCAGCACGCCAUUUCACAUCGGUUACAAGAGCAUAUGAGCUUCUUUGUUUCUAGACUCUGUCAUAUCCUGCUGCUGAGCUCUGGUAAUUAUUGGCCACAUUCCCAGCAGCGCAGGGUCAUGGCUGGAAGGGAUCCAGCUUUUGUCAAAUUAACUGUAAAAGUAUUUUUUAAAGGAUUUUACCUAACCUUAACUUAAUUCUCCUAACCUGCUGUGUUAAUUCUCCUAACCUGCUAUGUUAAUUAUACUAACCUGCUAUGUUAAUUAUACUAACCUGCUAUGUUAAUUAUACUAACCUGCUGUGUUAAUUAUACUAACCUGCUAUGUUAAAUAUACUAACCUGCUGUGUUAAUUAUACUAACCUGCUAUGUUAAUUAUACUAACCUGCUAUGUUAAUUAUCCUAACCUGCUAUGUUAAUUAUACUAACCUGCUAUGUUAAUUAUACUAACCUGCUAUGUUAAUUAUACUAACCUGCUAUGUUAAUUAUACUAACCUGCUAUGUCAAUUAUAUUAACCUUCUAUGUUAAUUAUACUAACCUGCUGUGUUAAUUAUACUAACCUGCUGUGUUAAUUAUACUAACCUGCUAUGUUAAUUAUACUAACCUGCUGUGUUAAUUAUACUAACCUGCUGUGUUAAUUAUACUAACCUGCUAUGUUAAUUCUCCUAACCUGCUAUGUUAAUUCUCCUAACCUGCUGCGUAAGUUCUAACCUGCUACGAAAAGUCAAAUCGGACUUUAAUUUGACAAAAGCUGGAUCCCUUUUAGUCAUGACCGCAGCGCAGCCUCCUGGGGCUGAUUUAGCCAAUGUUCCCACCCAGGAAUCCUGGACGUCUGACAGCAACCAGGCCAGACUCUCUUUCAAGUCCACACUCCGUCAGCCUCUCCCGGGCCGUGGCCCAGAGUCCGCCCUCCCUCCCAAGGCUGUCUCCCAUCUUUAUGGAGCGCCCAGAAAAACAGCCACUCUCCCUCCUAAAUAACAAUUUCUUGAAACUGCCUGCCACACCCAAUUUUCUUUCUUUCCCUCCCUGACCUCUCCUGCCCCUUAUGGUCACCCCUAACAUUUCACACAACAGAAAUCUUUCUCAUGUUAGUCUGGAAGCAGUUAAAACCAUGCUGUUAGAUGUGAAGGCCAAGGUUAAAUGGGGAAAGUUUAAUGGAAACAUUUCCAUAGCGCUUUUUCAUGUUGAAACAAGUAUUUUUUUAGACUUUGUUAGAGCAUGUUUGGAUUAAAUAUCAGUUUUCAAUUCCA